rnacentral:rRNA from 1 species
UACGUAGGUGGCAAGCGUUGUCCGGAUUUACUGGGCGUAAAGAGCGCGCAGGCGGUCGUUCAAGUCGCGUGUGAAAGCCCCCGGCUCAACUGGGGAGGGUCACGCGAUACUGAUCGACUCGAAGGCAGGAGAGGGUAGUGGAAUUCCCGGUGUAGUGGUGAAAUGCGUAGAUAUCGGGAGGAACACCAGUGGCGAAGGCGACUUUCUGGACUGUGUCUGACACUGAGGCGCGAAAGCUAGGGGAGCAAACGGG